UAGGGAAUAUUAGAAAUGGACGAAAGUCUGAUCUAGCAACACCGCGUGUGCGAUGAAGGCCUUCGGGUUGUAAAGCACUUUUUGGAAGGAUUAGGAAGGAAUGUACUUCCAGAAUAAGUUUCGGCUAACUACGUGCCAGCAGCCGCGGUAACACGUAGGAGGCGAACGUUAUCCGGAUCUACAGGGCGUAAAGCGCGUGUAGGUGGUUCUGUAAGUAGGGCGUGAAAGCUCCUGGCUCAACUGGGAGAGGCCGUUCUAAAUUGCAGAGCUAGAGGAUGGUAGAGGGAGGUGGAAUUCCGGGUGUAGCGGUGGAAUGCGCAGAUAUCCGGAGGAACACCAGUGGCGAAAGCGGCCUCCUGGACCAUUCCUGACACUCAGACGCGAAAGCUAGGGUAGCAAACGG
rnacentral:rRNA from 1 species